rnacentral:rRNA from 1 species
AUGGUGGAAGGCAUUGUUGCUUCACUGAUGGUCAAGAUGGGAGUGGCCUUAGCAAGUCAGGCGACAACAUUUGGUGGAUCCUGCAUCGCUCAUGAAUUGACUGCUUUAAAAAGGAUCUUCACUAAGAUGGAGGAGAUCAAGGAUGAGCUGGAGUGCAUGCAGUCCUUCUUACAGGUUUCUGAGAUGCUCAGAGACCACGAUGAAACAAUGGCAACAUUUGUUAGGAAGGUACACACACUUUCCUUGGGCAUCGAGGAUGUUGUUGAUGAGUUCAGCUGCAAGUUCUGCGACGGUCAUGGCGGAGCCGCUUCCAGAGCAAUACGGAAGCUCAGGCGCAUCUGGACAUGGCACCGCCUUGCCUUUCGGCUUGUGCGGAUCAAAGCCACGCUAAAAAUUGCCAUAGAAAGAGUUAAGAUGUUCAACACAGAAGGAAUUAGCAAGGUGCAAUAA